CGUGCUUUCAAACUUGGACAGACAGUAC
rnacentral:piRNA from 1 species